rnacentral:tRNA from 1 species
GGCAAUGUAGCUCAGGAGGUAGAGCACAUCCCUUUUAAGGAUGGGGUCCCGGGUUCGAAUCCCGGCAUUGUCA